AACGAACGCUGGCGGCAGGCUUAACACAUGCAAGUCGAACGGGUGUAGCAAUACAUCAGUGGCAGACGGGUGAGUAACACGUGGGAACCUUCCUAGGGGUACGGAGCAACUCAGGGAAACUUGAGCUAAUACCGUAUACGUCCGUGAGGAGAAAGAUUUAUCGCCCUUAGACGGGCCCGCGUCGGAUUAGCUAGUUGGUGGGGUAACGGCCUACCAAGGCGACGAUCCGUAGCUGAUCUUAGAGGAUGAUCAGCCACACUGGGACUGAGACACGGCCCAGACUCCUACGGGAGGCAGCGGUGGGGAAUCUUGGACAAUGGGCGCAAGCCUGAUCCAGCCAUGCCGCGUGAGUGAAGAAGGCCUUAGGGUUGUAAAGCUCUUUUACCAGGGACGAUAAUGACGGUACCUGGAGAAUAAGCCCCGGCAAACUUCGUGCCAGCCGCCGCCGUAAAAC
rnacentral:rRNA from 1 species